GAUGUGUUUUCGCUUGCCUCGCAGGCCUCUGGCUUUGCGGGUGAAUUUUCUUCAUGGUUGACAAGGUAGAAGUCUGGGAGAUUUAUGGAAGGACUCUGACGUCACAUCUUCUUGCUCUAAGAGGCAGCUAAGAAGGAAUGAAUAAUUGUAGAAAAGGAAUGAAUAAUUGUGCUACAGAGCACCCAGACCUGUGGCUCACAUCACCUUCAAAAAUGUGCCGGUCUCUUUGAGGUUUAUGAACUGCAGUGACGACGACUUUGUUGGCAGAGUCGUCUCUCUUUCUUAAAGAAGAGCAGUAAAGACCGUCGGUUAGGCAUAAUGCCUGGCACAUACGAGCUGCUCAGAAAAAUGUUUUUGAACGACUAGAGAGACUUACCCACAAAAUCUGCCUUUGCUACAUAAACCUCUAUCCAGCAUAUAUAUUCGAUCAUCAUAUACAGUCUGUUGCGCUACUCAGUGAAAAUCACCACCACGUGCACUCAAGAGA